AACAGGAUUAGAUACCCUGGUAGUCCACGCCGUAAACGAUGAGUGCUAGGUGUUAGGGGGGUCCAACCCCUUAGUGCUGAAGUCAACACAUUAAGCACUCCGCCUGGGGAGUACGACCGCAAGGUUGAAACUCAAAGGAAUUGACGGGGGCCCGCACAAGCAGUGGAGCAUGUGGUUUAAUUCGAAGCAACGCGAAGAACCUUACCAGGUCUUGACAUCCUCUGACAACCCUAGAGAUAGGGCUUUCCCCUUCGGGGGACAGAGUGACAGGUGGUGCAUGGUUGUCGUCAGCUCGUGUCGUGAGAUGUUGGGUUAAGUCCCGCAACGAGCGCAACCCUUGAUCUUAGUUGCCAGCAUUCAGUUGGGCACUCUAAGGUGACUGCCGGUGACAAACCGGAGGAAGGUGGGGAUGACGUCAAAUCAUCAUGCCCCUUAUGACCUGGGCUACACACGUGCUACAAUGGGUGGUACAAAGGGCUGCGAGACCGCGAGGUUAAGCGAAUCCCAUAAGCCACUCCCAGUUCGGAUUGCAGGCUGCAACUCGCCUGCAUGAAGCCGGAAUUGCUAGUAAUCGCGGAUCAGCAUGCCGCGGUGAAUACGUUCCCGGGCCUUGUACACACCGCCCGUCACACCACGAGAGUUUGCAACACCCGAAGUCGGUGAGGCAACCUUUUAGGAGCCAGCCGCCGAAGGUGGGGCAGAUGAUUGGGGUGAAGUCGUAACAAGGUAACC
rnacentral:rRNA from 1 species